ACAGAACCAGUUACAUCAACAUGGAAACAAACAAGCAAACAACAACUUGUCACUGUUUAGCAACUUCACUUGUUUCAGAUGGAGAAAUAAUUUUCCUUCCUCAAGUCAGAGCAAACAAGCACCAGAGAAGACGAGAGGACGUUCUCCUUCCAGUGUCGUAUGCAAGAUGGAGCCAAGUACAAAAUUACACUUACGGCCCGAACUACGUGUUCGUGUGUAUUGCCGAGAUGUGUCUUUAAACUCCGUAAAUUAACUUUCGACAUUACACGUGUGCACAAAAGAGGCGAGAGUUUCUUAUGGUGACAGCCAAAUAAAUUCCAGAUGUACCUGAUUUACUGAAGUUGGACGUGUCUAAAUGUGACGUGUGUGAGCAUAUGUAUACAUAUAUAUAUAUAUUUCUGACAAGCCUGACCUUUGUAAUAACUCGAUACAUUUUAAAAAUAAAAUUUUGACAUGUGUA